UACGUAGGGGGCGAGCGUUGUCCGGAAUCAUUGGGCGUAAAGCGCGUGUAGGCGGCUCGAUAAGUCCGGUGUGAAAUCUUGGGGCUCAACCCCAAGCCUGCACUGGAUACUGUCGAGCUUGAGUCCGGGAGGGGAGAGCGGAAUUCCUAGUGUAGCGGUGAAAUGCGCAGAUAUCAGGAGGAACACCGGUGGCGAAGGCGGGUCUCUGGGCCGAUACUGACGCUGAGGCACGAAAGCGUGGGGAGCAAACAGG
rnacentral:rRNA from 1 species